rnacentral:pre_miRNA from 1 species
UGACUUUAGUCAAAGUCAAACUGCUUCAAAUUUGACCAAGUUUAUAGAAAAUAAUAAUAAUAUUUUUGACCCAAGAUAAAUAUAUUUAAUAAAACUAAUUUGGUAAUGUAAAUAUUACUAUAUUUGUCUAUAAACUUGAUCAAACUUGAAGCAGUUUGACUUUGACCAAAGUCAA